CCCGCGCCGUAUUAGCUAGUUGGUAAGGUAACGGCUUACCAAGGCGACGAUACGUAGCCGACCUGAGAGGGUGAUCGGCCACACUGGAACUGAGACACGGUCCAGACUCCUACGGGAGGCAGCAGUAGGGAAUCUUCCGCAAUGGGCGAAAGCCUGACGGAGCAACGCCGCGUGAGUGAUGAAGGGUUUCGGCUCGUAAAACUCUGUUAUUAGGGAAGAACAAACGUGUAAGUAACUGUGCACGUCUUGACGGUACCUAAUCAGAAAGCCACGGCUAACUACGUGCCAGCAGCCGCGGUAAUACGUAGGUGGCAAGCGUUAUCCGGAAUUAUUGGGCGUAAAGCGCGCGUAGGCGGUUUCUUAAGUCUGAUGUGAAAGCCCACGGCUCAACCGUGGAGGGUCAUUGGAAACUGGGAAACUUGAGUGCAGAAGAGGAAAGUGGAAUUCCAUGUGUAGCGGUGAAAUGCGCAGAGAUAUGGAGGAACACCAGUGGCGAAGGCGACUUUCUGGUCUGUAACUGACGCUGAUGUGCGAAAGCGUGGGGAUCAAACAGGAUUAGAUACCCUGGUAGUCCACGCCGUAAACGAUGAGUGCUAAGUGUUAGGGGGUUUCCGCCCCUUAGUGCUGCAGCUAACGCA
rnacentral:rRNA from 1 species